rnacentral:ncRNA from 1 species
GAGUUUGAUCCUGGCUCAGGACGAACGCUGGCGGCGUGCUUAACACAUGCAAGUCGAACGAUGAACCCGCUUCGGUGGGGGAUUAGUGGCGAACGGGUGAGUAACACGUGGGCAAUCUGCCCUGCACUCUGGGACAAGCCCUGGAAACGGGGUCUAAUACCGGAUACCACCCGGGGGCGCAUGCCUCUGGGUUGAAAGCUCCGGCGGUGCAGGAUGAGCCCGCGGCCUAUCAGCUUGUUGGUGGGGUGAUGGCCUACCAAGGCGACGACGGGUAGCCGGCCUGAGAGGGCGACCGGCCACACUGGGACUGAGACACGGCCCAGACUCCUACGGGAGGCAGCAGUGGGGAAUAUUGCACAAUGGGCGAAAGCCUGAUGCAGCGACGCCGCGUGAGGGAUGACGGCCUUCGGGUUGUAAACCUCUUUCAGCAGGGAAGAAGCGAGAGUGACGGUACCUGCAGAAGAAGCGCCGGCUAACUACGUGCCAGCAGCCGCGGUAAUACGUAGGGCGCAAGCGUUGUCC